AAAUAAUACGUCACGGAAAACGGGAAAACACUAACAACAUUCCUCGCGUGCUAGCUCGGCGAAAUCCACCCUCCCGCAGCCCGUGAAUGCUGCCUGGCGGUUUAUGGGAAGAAGGUGCAUCUGCCAGGGAUCAGGUUUCAUCAAGGGGGGCCCGAUUGGCCGAACCUGCCUCUAAAAAUACACCAUGGCAGAUAUAACUCUGCGUCUCAUUUGGUACAAACUCGGGGAGAGCUCAAGCAAGAUGGCGGAAGCGGCAGCAACUUGGUACUCCAAGCUCCGAUGGGAAGAUCAUUUCUUGGAUAUUUUGUUGAUAGGCUGGUUUUGUUGGUGUUCAGUGAUUGUCAUUGUCAUCAACUCGUUCGUAUCUUUCGUGGGUCCUCUGCAACGUCGUCUGCCGUCGGAGACACUGCGCGUGAAGGAAGCCGGUGCUAAACCCGCCCUACCCAAGGGCCCCGGUAUUGAGACCUGUCAAUGGUUUAACACUGCACUAAACUGGUUCUAUCUACACUAUUACCAUUCUGCGGACUUCUUGGACGAAUGGAUUAAGUCACUCAAUGAACAGAUGACCAAACUAGGGGGUCCUGUGCAGACAAAGUUUGAGAGGAUCCAGGCUGGGAGUCUGCCGCCCAAGUUCGGAGAAAUCUCCUGCGAGGCCACACCAGAAGACAAGUUUGUCAUCCAUGUCCGUGUGGAUUCCAAGGAUCUGGCGUUUGUCAUCUUCUGCUCUCAACAAACUCAUGAAGGGGUCAAACUCACCAACUGCACCGCCACUGUCUUCCGGCUCCGAGGAACGCUGCUGGUUCAAUCGUUCAAGGAUGCGGGAGAGGUGAAGGUCAACGUUGCAUUUGACGGGCGUCCCGACAUCAAGGUCAAUGUCAAACCAACCAACCCAUAUCAGGACGAUGACGAUCCGUCGGACAUGGUGGACAUCGGCGUGGUGGAGGAGCUCGUGCGUCAGGCAAUCUGUAUGACCACCACCACAUUCACCAUCACCCACCUCCUCGCCCCGGACACCCGGGGACAGUCCAAGCGCCACUCCGACCACGACCGCGGCUCGGGACAAGGUCAAGUGCCCAACAUGAGCCAAGGCUACUCCCAGAUGCCUCAGAUGAACGAGGGCAACUUUGAGCGCCGUAUGCCCCAGACACACGGUGGUGCACCCAUGCAGAGCAUGCACGUGCAGAGCACGCAGCUGCAGAGCUCCCCGAAGCGCCAUGCCGCGCCCCAGCCCCCCGUCUCUGCUGUGCACUCUCCCCCCAAGUCAGAGGCUCUUUUCGUGCCCAUCGAGGCAAGCCAGUACCAAAGUGCUUUUCAGACCCCCGUGUCGCAGGCCACGGACGUGCCGCCCAAACCUCCACGCUCCACUGCUGACAAGCGCCUCCUGGUCAAGGUCAUCAAGGCCAACGGAGUCGGCGCCAAGGAAAUCGGUGGUUUAAAUUUUCUAGGUUCAGUGAACCCUGUUGUGUUGCUGCUGAUGGACGACCCAAUCCAGAACCACUCCACCAGCGUCGUCAGGAACGCCAGCAACCCCUUCUGGGACGAGAGCUUUCUCUUUGACGUCACGCAGCACAGCAACGAGCUUCGCUUCGAGGUGUUUGACAAGACCAAGCAGCCUGGAGAGGACUUCCUGGGGGAGACGACUGUGUACAUGAGCGACCUCCGCCUGACCCCCAGCAGUCGCCAGAUCCUCGCCCUGCAGAGUCGCCCCGGCAACUUGGACUCCAUCAGUGGCUCCCUCACAGUGGAGUUUCUGUUCAUGGAUUCGGCGGAGGCAGAGAUGAUGAUGGGGAUGUCGUCCGCUCCCAAUAGCCAGGUGUCCCCCAAACGCCGCAUCGAGACGGAGCGCACCAUCACCCCAGGUGGUACUGUCAUCACUACCACAACCACGACCACACAUCGACCUCAGUUCGGCCCGCCCCAACCAGGGCCAGAUGGACACACCCCCAGCCUGGUGGAGAAGCAUCAUCACUCUAACCCGGACCUCGACUCGUCGUCCACCCUCAGCGCCGACUCCCCGUACUUCCCCGGGGACCAGUCAUUGUCAGCAUCUGCGUCAUCAGAGUUGAUUGUAAUUAAUGGAGUGGAGUCCGUGACAGAGGCAGCCAUCAGGGAAUUGAAGGAUCAGUCGCGGAGGCCUCGCACUCCAACCAAAACUAGCACGCUUAUAAUAACCGGCGUCAAGCGGGAGCCGGUAGUCCCUGUCAUCAAGACUAUAGAGAGUUCUCCCACAGAGGAGGGGGGUGACAUCGCCGUCACCAACGCUGCCCCGGACAAGGCUGUAGAGAAAGAAAAGAAGAAAAGUUCGUUUGGGGAAGCGAUAAGGAAGCGUUUUGGUCGCAAGAAGCGAUCGCAAAGUGCUGAUCGAGCUGCGACCAGUUUGAAAGAAGGCGCAAACUAUCUCCGCCCCCCAGAGCAAACUUACGGCCCUCAAUCUAAAGAUGAUAUGGAACUCGUGCGGUCCCAGGACCCCGCAAAAUCACCCAACUUGAAGAAGUCCCGCUCACUAGGAGGUAGCUUAAAGAAACUUUUCCGGCGCAGCAGAAAAAGGUCAAAGUCUCGUGGAGAGUCAUCACGUGAUAGCUCUUUUUCAAGGUCAUCUGAUCGCCGAGCAGGCUCUCAAAAUCCUUCCAGGGAUAGUUCGUUAAACAGACAUUCAGCGCAUCAAAGGGCCGCCUCUACUUCCUGAAGCCACACCCCCUCCAAAUCUAAUUUUAAUAUUAAUAUAUUUUGUACAAAAAAACCUGAAUUAAUGCUAAGCACAAAUUGGCUGCAUGACCUUUCAAGGAUGCUGUUACAAGUUUUCAACAGCCUUGACCUUAGAGGUUCAAGGUCAUAUUUCAUUGACCUUUUGUUAUAAUGUCAAAAGUAAUAUUUUCAAGGUGAUCCUUGCUUGUCUUUUUCGACCUUGAAUGGCCUUGUGAUAUUCCCAAUGACCUCAUUCUAUCAAAAUGCUCAAACGACCUUUAAGGUCAGAUGCAUACUAUCUGGUCAUGUGUUUAUGGAAAUUAAUAUCAUGUCACGUAAUAGUGUUUCUGAUAGGUCAUGUGCCACUUAAUGCUGUUUCUGAUUGGUCAUUUGCCAGAAAGACUCUUGUAGAUGUGUGGAAAUAAUAUGUACAGACUGUCUUGUGUAGUAUGUGCAUUUCAUAUAGCUUUAUGAUUCCAGUUUUACUGCUCUCACAAUCAGUUGCAGCCGUAUUUGCGUAAAAACCCUGGGUAGGAAGUCUUACCUCUGAAACACUUGCUUCUUCCUUCCUAGCUGAGCUGAAACAUGAAACAUGGACAGACAUGUCAAGCUUUGUGUCGCCGUCAAACCUGAAUAUUGUGAUCAGAGACAGUUAUGGAUGCCUUUCGGUCAUGUCUAUUUUACCCAAAUCAAGAAAAUGGAGACCUCUCAGUAAAGUGCUACGCAACUAGUUCAAUUGGGUCGAUGCUACAUUCUCUCACAGAUGUGGAUCAGGAGUGUCUUGACAAGUUACAGGCGUGUGUUAGUAGAACUGAGUAGGUUUCCUGAUAACUAGUUACAGACGUGUGUUAGUAGAACUGAGUAGAUUUCCUGAUAACUAGUUACAGACUUGUGUUAGUAGAACUGAGCAGAUUUCCUGACAACUAGUUACAGGCAUGUGUUAGUAGAACUGAGUAGGUUUCCUGACAACUAGUUACAGACGUGUGUCACUAGAUGGGAGUAGGUUUCCUGAUAACUAGUUAUAAAUGUGUGUCAGUAGAUCGGAGUAGGUUGCCUGAUAACUAGUUACAGACGUGUGUCACUGGAUCGGAGUAGGUUGCCUGACAACUAGUUACAGACGUGUGUCACUAGAUCGGAGUAGGUUUCCUGACAACUAGUUACAGACGUGUGUCACUGGAUCGGAGUAGGUUUCCUGACAACUAGUUACAGACGUGUGUCACUAGAUCGGAGUAGGUGUCCUAACAAAUAGUUUCAGACGUGUGUCAGUAGAUCGGAGUAGGUUUCCUGACAACUAGUCAUUGACAUUUCGGAGCACAAGUGAUACGAUUGGUAAUUCUAAUUACUAAGGGAACUAGACACUGUUUUUAGGCUUUUACACUUUUCUACAUUUGCCCCCAGUUUUGAAACAUACUGGUCAUAGAACACCAUGGCAGGGGAGCUUGGACCAGGAGUCCUGGCAUGUUCUGUUAGAACUCACUCACUCACUCACUCACAAUAUUCAAGUUUUGGGGUAUUGAUUCUUACAGCUUUGAGUUGAAAGUCUUCGUCUUCGUCCCUCAUGUCGCACUCUCUGUAGUGUUGUCCAUGUUGCCAUAGUGUAGCUGUAGCUGUAGCUGUAGCUGUGUCAUCAUCUCAUUGUGCUGACAGUCUCACUACAGUGCUGUGUAGUACAGGAUCUAUGUUAUCCUUCUUCAGAACUAUGGUGUCAGUUAAUGUACUUUAUGGCAAAAUGAUAUCAUUUGCAAGAACACUGUUAUUUAGUUGAAUGCUUCAUGCGACGGUCACAAUGACUCAUCUUGCAACAUAAUAACAAUGUCAGGGACAGUAGCAACCAUGUUACUGUCAGUAAUAACAUUGUUAUUUCCUGCAAGAGCUAUGGUAUUGUCAGUAAUAACAUUGUUAUUUCCUGCAAGAGGCAUGUCAUUGUCAGUAAUAAUGUUAUUUCCUGCAAGAGCUAUGGUAUUGUCAGUAAUAACAUUGUUAUUUCCUGCAAGAGGCAUGUCAUUGUCAGUAAUAAUGUUAUUUCCUGCAAGAGCUAUGGUAUUGUCAGUAAUAAUGUUAUUUCCUGCAAGAGGCAUGUUAUUGUCAGUCAUAAUGUUAUUUCCUGCAAGAGGCAUGUUAUUGUCAGUAAUAACAUUGUUAUUUCCUGCAAGAGGCAAGUUAUUGUCAGUAAUAACAUUGUUAUUUCCUGCAAGAGGCAUGUUAUUGUCAGUAAUAACAUUGUUAUUUCCUGCAAGAGGCAUGUUAUUGUCAGUAAUAACAUUGUUAUUUCCUGCAAGAGGCAAGUUAUUGUCAGUCAUAAUGUUAUUUCCUGCAAGAGCGAUGUCAUUGUCAGUAGUAACACUGUUAUUUUCUGCAAGAGCUGUGUUAUUUAGGCAGGGGUAAGCGCCACCUGGUGUGAUGUGAUAGAAGGCUGGCUGUAGUCAGCCUGUGUUUGAGGCUGUGUGGAACCCUUGAGCGCUGUACAUGACCCUGGAAGGUAUAUGGUAGGCUUUAGACUCCUUCUUAGUAAACCGUUACGCAUGAUGCCAGUAUUGAAGAAAUUCUAGUCCGUCACAAUCAGCAUCUUAAACCUCACAAGAAAAAGGAAAUUGAAAAUUUGACGAUUGUGCGAGGUACUAUGAACUGGGUGAUUUUGUGGCCGAAGUUGGACAUGUGUUGGCCCCCUGUUAGCCUCUUCCUUCCUACAUUCGAUCCCAAAAGUCACCAUUCAUAGCGUGUCGUCGUCUUUCUCGUGACAGUCUGGAACAAGAGAACAGAGUUCAAUUCUUGUUGAAAAUUGAAAAUGUUUGACAUGCUAGAAGAUCAAAUUUGAAGAUGUUUCAUGUCUUGGUAUUCUACCAACUUCUUAAUGCCAACCAAAGACUUCUGCGUGCAAUUUGUUUACAAAAGUUUGAAUCGUUCAAUUUUCCUUUUUUCUGUAUCAAUAUCUUGGCAUUUGAUUAUGUGUGGUACUGAUUUGAAGAUAUAAGACUGAGGAAGCUGUACGAGUGUGAGAUGAAUGGCUGUCUGACGAUCCUCCAUUGAUGUUAGGGAUCUACCCACGAUUUGACCAUUGUGUUCAAAUGCUCAAUUUUGAUUUUUACGCUUUUUGGAAUUGUGCACUUCUCUGUGUUGUUUUUUUAUUCUUUUUUUAAAAUAUAGAAUAGCACUAAAACCAAGCAUGUUUUCUCACCAUCUGAUUUCCCGGAGAUAAACUGUAGAGACUGAUGAGGCUGAAAAGAAACUGGUUGGGGUUGUCUGAGAAUACAGAGCUUCAGCAGCUGGGACAUCGUCAUUCUGUUUCCAUGGUUACCUUGCUGUUUCCAUGGCGAUCAUUUUGUAUGAUGUUUUUAAGACAUCGUAUUCAGUUUUGAAGGAAAUAGGAAUGUGAGAAAAGUGCUUGUUAGCUCUUUUUUAUGAAUUUUACUUUACUUUUGAAUGUUGUGUGAGAUGGGAGUAGCUGGUGAUCAGUGAGGAAUACACAGGGGAACUGUGAGACGUACGUACAUGAGACAGGGAAGGGCAAACUAGUACCUGCUUCUCAAAUGAAAGAGAAGACCCCAUUAUGAGGUCGUAUGUACCCCAUUACGAGGUCGUAUGUACCACAUUAUGGGGUCACAUGUAAUCCAUUACGAGGUCACAUGUACCCCAUUUUGAGGUCACGUGUACCCCAUUACGAGGUCACAUGUAAUCCAUUAUGAGGUCACACGUACCCCUAACGAGGUCACAUGUACCCCAUUUUGAGGUCACGUGUACCCAAUUACGAGGUCACGCGUACCCCAUUACAAGUUCGCAAUGUACCCCAUUUUGAGGUCACGUGUACCCCAUUACGAGGUCACAUGUACCCCAUUUCAAGGUCAUGUGAUAAACGUUAUCUUUUGUUGUUUUGGAAAGUUAAGAGUUAAAUGUAUCACUAUGUAAAGUUUUGAAGAAAAAUGAUAAAAAAUCAUAAGUAAGCAAUUUAGAAAAUGACAAUAUUUACACAAUAAGUUGAUGCUUUCAUUCCAUCAAGGGAGACAACUGGAAGUGAACUGUAGCGAAAGGCUCGGGAAAACAUCGUCCUCAUUAUCAUCUGGCUGUCUUGUCCAUAUACUACUGGUUAUUGAAAUCAAUUCAAAACUCCAAAAUCUGUCAAAAAAUACAUAAAUUAUUUAAUUUUAUUUUGAAAAUUUUUCUUGCAAAAUAUACAUAUUUUGGGACAGACAGCAAAAUUGUCAAUUUGAAUGGACCCCCAGUAUUACAAAGCCAAAAUACAAGUGCAAUAUAGACUUUUAACAUGACGGUGUGAUAUUUAUAUUUAUACAAGUGUAGUGUCUAGAUGGAAUGCUUAAUGUCAAGUUUGUACGGCUGUACUAGUGGCAGUGUGAUAUUAAUUAUUGUAGAUAGCUAUUUGGUACAAUAUUGUUAAAUGACUUUGUGACUUUUUUUGUAUUACUAAAGGGACGUGGACGUCUUGUGUGCACUGAGCAGUCCAUUUCUGCUUGACCCUGCUGCCUCUAACACUGUUUGCUGGGAGUGUUAUGUGAAAAUAUGUCAUAAAUGCUGUUAUGUUGAAGAAUAUGUUCAAAGGUGCAAUUUCAGUUUUGAUUGAAACUAUUUGAAAUUUCAAAUUUUGAAAUCUGAAAAUCUCCCUCUAUCAUAUUUGGAUUUUUAGGUGACCGUCUAUGAAAAUGUUGAUGAAUAAUAUUGCCACGUUUGGUUACAUUUCUUUCAAUAAAAGGGAUGUAACGUGUUUAUGUUUAAGAACUAACGGGCCUAGUGGUUAAAGCAUUUGCUCGUCACGCCAAAGACGUUCUGGAAUAAUUCUAAAAGCGGCGUAAAACCGUACUCACUCACUCACUAAAGAACUAACCUACCACUAGAUCCAUGGUAAUCAAUCUGUGAUCGCAAAGCUGAACUUGCUCCUCUGUGUUUGUUAAAUGCUGAACAUUUGAUGAAAAUUAAUCUAUGCAAGAGGACGUCAUCGUUUCCUUGGCAACACUGAAUAUUUUCUACACCAAUCAAACAGCAGCUGCCGAUUGUGUUUAACCUUCAUAGAUCAAAACUUCUUUCGUCGAAGUGUCACUCCUUUGUCAAAGACACUUCACAUUUUCGAAAGAAAUAUUUCUCCCUGUUACAAAAAAAUAGCAAAAUCCUCAUCGUCUGGCUUUUCAUGUUUUUCUGAUCGUGCCAGUGGUUGCCGCGGGUAGACAGUGGUUGCUGGGCAGAGCCAGCAGUGGCACUAGCUGGCCGGUACCGAAAGUUAGAGACAACUAGAUGCACCAGGUGCUGUAGUCUGGAUAAUCAAGAUAUCCACCUUAAUGAAGAUCUCAUGGGGAGUUGUGGAGAUCUAAGGGGAGCUUGUAGAGGUCUAAGGGAGAUCUAGGGGGAGACUGCAAAGAUCUAAGAUUGUAGAGAUCUUGGGGGAGAUUGCAAAGAUCUAGGAUUGUAGAGAUCUAGGUGGAGAUCUAGGGGAGAUUGUGGAGAUCUAGGGGAGAUUGUGGAGGCAAGGCAAUAUUCUGGAGAUGUUUGUGGGCACAUUGUGGAAGUGUUGGAAUCUCAACAGGUUCUCUAUGAUCACAUCGGAAUUCUGAAGUGAUCGUGUGUGGAUUCUGUUAAGGUCUGACGGGGAAUUCCAAUGUGUGUGAGAAUUCCGCGAUGUUUUGGAGAUCUGUAGGCAGUGUUACAUCAGUCUGACAACAGUGCACAUUAGAAUAAAACUGUCGAAAAACAA
rnacentral:misc_RNA from 1 species